CCUAUAAAAGGGGUCCUUGGGGGACCUCUAUCCUCAACUCACAUCCUCUUGACUCACACUCCCACUAGAGCAAACCAAGGAGCCCGAAUCGCCUACUCCCACGUGAGUCGCCGAUUCCCCUCCUCUUCUGCAGGUGUUUGACGUAGAGCGCGCGUCGUGGACUCCACAGCCUCCGGCUCAUCUCGCCACCCCGCGAGCCC
rnacentral:lncRNA from 1 species